rnacentral:rRNA from 1 species
AUACGGAGGGUGCAAGCGUUGUUCGGAUUCACUGGGCGUAAAGGGCGUGUAGGCGGAUAUGCAAGCUGGAGGUGAAAGCCCCGGGCUCAACUCGGGAAUUGCUUCCAGAACUGUAUGUCUAGAGAAAGUCAGAGGCAGGUGGAAUUCCAGGUGUAGAGGUGAAAUUCGUAGAGAUCUGGAGGAACACCGGCGGCGAAGGCGGCCUGCUGGGGCUUUUCUGACGCUGAGGCGCGAAAGCGUGGGGAGCAAACAGUAUUAGAAACCCGAGUAGUCC